GCCAAACAUAUCUUGUCAAAAAAUGUGUAUGAUUUUAUUUCCCGGUUUUUUGAAAUCGUCAGUAACAUCAUAAAAAUUUAUUGCCUACUUAUGAGCGCACAUGCGAAUUUUCCUUCCACGCAAGCUUUCCUGCCAUUAUGACCGUAAUACUGUCAAAAACAAACACACAAUAAUUAUAAUGAUGAUCAAAUAAAACUGGAAAUUAGCCCAAAGUGAGUUAAGUCAAGCGGAGAAGGCGAACAAAGGCUCUCUACUGGCACUCUACUGGCACUCUACUGGCAAAAGGCAAAAAGUGACAGCAAAAUUGACUCGAAGACUGCGGCUAAUGAGCGUGCGAUAGCGAUGAAAGGAGUGGCCCGAAAUCCCAGCAGAACUGGGUAAGAGGCAGAGAUAUCGUUGAACUAGUCAAAUACGAAAACCGACUACAGCACUGCAAUGGGCUUGUGUCAAGAAUAAGCGUCUUAGUUUUUAACCCGAGAAGGGGUAAGAGGAAAAGCCGAAAGGAAAACAAAGACGACUAAGGCAGAUGGCUAGAAGAAAAACUCAAUUGCCGCACAAACUGAGCCGCUAUUGUUUUCUUAAUUGAGUGUCUCUGCCCAAGUGUGUGUGACUUUGGGUGACCAAAAAAAAAAAAUUAAGUGUAAUGUCAGUUAGAAUAUAUUUGUUAAUGUAUUUGCAAA